AUUUUAUGGUUUUUCAAUGAAAAUAGUUGUUUACUCCCAAACCAUUCACGAAACUCGCGUUAUUUUUCUCCGAGUGCAAAUGUAUUCGUGACUAAACCAAUUACCAGUAGCUUUGACGUAAGAACCAGCCAGUGUGCUUGGAUUGCUAAAUUUAGAGCGAAGGUGGAAAUUCAGCUGGAACGAGCCUUUUCGCCGCUUUAUAGAAAAGGAAAUAUCGAUUAAGGGCUUGUACGUGCCGGUCGUUACACGGUAAUUAAAACACGUGUAACGCCGGGGUUCAAGAUAAUUAGCAAAUGCGCAUCGAAUCAAAAGGGCGACUACCGCUGAGGCAAAUUGGCUGCAAUGCGAACAACAGGCGGACACCAUAAUUACAAGGUUCAUUAAAUCGUAUUCGAUGGCGAUUGUACUGUUCACCGAAUCACAUGUGGUAACGCUAAUUUCAAUUCGAGUGAGAUCAAAACAACUGCUGCUAUAUUUUUUUUAACGAGCACGUUCCUAUUUUAGUGGAGUUCGGAAAUUGUUAGCGUGCCAUUUUUACAACACCUUAUACAUAUACCUUAUACAUAUUCGACAACUUCUUUAAUUAUCGGUUCCUCUACAGUAUGAAUCAGUAGUGCAGUAUGAAUUUUCAAACGUACUGUGAAAUAAAAGUUACGAUAGAAAAAAUCGAAGUAUGUACUUUCCUUACGAAUAAAUGAUCAGAUACCUAUACUUUAUAUGAAAUAUCUAUAGAUAUGUGAUUCAAUGGAUCUUUUUUUACUAAUCUGUAUAGACAAUAUGAAAUAUCAUAAUUUUGGUUUUUAUCGACAGCGAGAGAAAUAAUUGGUUUCGUUAACCGUGUAAUUCCAUACGGAACACUGUACGUACACUAUUGUAUUCGUUAUUUUCAGUUCUCGAUAGUUAUUAAUUACAAUGAAACGUAUAAUUCUGUUCUUGCAUGGAAUUGUAUUGCAACGCACAUUUCAAGUUACAACGGUGAACGAAAUUUAUUUGAUUUUUCCUUUGUAUGCAGUGGUGGAAAUUUUUCAAUCGGUAAUCUGUAAAUAAUAAAUACGCUAGCUUUUAUAUCAAGCAGUACUUGUGAAGUACACGUGAAUCACUAUAGAGCACUAUUGUUUUAUCAACUUAAAUUCCUGUACAGAGUUUUACCAAACAUGUAAUCUUUUCAAGAUAAAUUCUUCUUUGCACUUUGAAUUGAAUCAUUGUUUCAUUAUGCUGUCCAAGGUUUUAUCGUCAACAUGCGAGUAGUUAUAGUUGUUCCCGGCACGAAAGCAUGCGCGGACAGAAUAUAAAAUGGCGAGUGUCAAGAAUCACGUGAAUAAAUUGAAUCAUUUAUAACCAUCUAACGAAGCGUUACAUCACGAAACAGUAAAAUACGUUUCAAUUUAUUUUCACACGAGGAACCAUUCAUUAAUAAAACAAUUAACUGCGCGAGAUUGAAAGCUGCUCUCCUAAUUCGUGAACAUUAUUUUCCGAUCGGAUUUCAACAAUUCUUAGAGAUCAGUAUUGUGCGAUGACACUAAAUAGCUUUCGUAUGACCUUCGUCAAGUAGAAAUUAGAUUCGCUCCAAACGUUGAGAUAAAACCAGUACCUCUAUGAUCGUCCGCUAGCGGAGAUUCCACUACGAUCACGUUGCAUAACACACGAUAACGAGUGUCCUCCAUUGCCGUUCCCUCUGCCGUUUAGAAUACUCAUUCAAUAUUAAUUCGACGGGAGAUUGUCUGCGCGAACGCAUAUGUACCGCGAAGGUAAAUCCUGUACCUUGCAAUCCCGAGAGGAUUUAACAGCAAAUCGACGCUGUUAGCUCGCGGCAAAAUUGCCUUGAUCUAAACGGUGUCUAAUCCCUUGAGUGUGAAUGUUGUUUAGGUGUUAGUUUCGUGGCAAAAAGAAAGCAUUCAUCGUUCGAUUAAACUCGAUCCUUGCGCGAACAACCGAAACGGCGGAGUGUGUUUACUGCUUCGCUGCUUAAGUACUUGUUGUCGUUACGAAUUAGAAACUAACUUAUUUUAACCCUUAAACGCCCAAAGUUUCAAAUUCGAUUCCGGUCUUUCAAAUCGAAUUGUACAAUUGCUUUGUUUUUAAUAUUUGCCUGUAUGUAUGUAUCAAAAUUGAUACCUGGUUUAUUUUUUAAAUAAAAAUAUAAAACACGUA